rnacentral:lncRNA from 1 species
UCGGUUCUUCAAUUUUCCCCCUCCGGUAAACAUCAUCACCACCACCAGCAGUCACCAUCCUCUCUCUCUCUCUCUCUCUCUCUCUCUCUCUCUCUCUCCAGAACGCUUCGAACUGAAAAAACCCUCACCGGAAGUGCUCUUUGUUUCUUCUUUGGCGAUGGCAACCGAUCUGUAAAGGAGGGUUUUCUUCGAGCUAGGGUUUGUUGAGGAAGAUGACGAAGGACCUCCCUUCUCGUCGGGCCUCCCUUUCACAUAUCGGAGGUAUCCGAUCUCAACACAUCCAAGGAUUUUCAUUACCACUUGCGUCAACGAUCGAAUCGGAGGAGAAGGCGAAGGGCGGCGAGUGGCGAUAGGGUUUUUGUCAGUGAUUUUUUCCUUCCAGAUCUUGAAACCAACAAGGAACUUCGAAUCUAUAAUGUGAUCUCUUUCGGUCGUAGCUCAACAUCUUUGUCGGAGGAGCGAGGGUUUUAGACGGUGGUUUCAAAGUUGGAUUAUUUGUUGUUUGCAGAUGACCGACAACACAAAACCAUGUCUCUUCGGAUAUCGAUUUGUCUUCCUGAUUGAAGGUUGGUGGUGACGGAGAAUAUGGGGGCUAAAUAUGAAAACCCUAAUUAGAUUAUUCAUGGGAUUUAAACUGUGGUGGUGGUGACUUUUUACAUGUGUAUGUGGUAUAGACAGGCGAUGGUGGUGACAAUUAAAGGAGGCAGCGAAAUGGGUGACACUAAUGGCGUUCAGAUCAGAGGUGUUCUGAUCGGUUAUGGUGGGUUCUCAUAAUCAUUCAUGAGGUGGUGAAGAUUACGGGUGUCAGAAAAUCGAUGUUGGUGGUGUUGAACUGGUGGUAGGUGAUGCAGGUGGUGGUCCGAAAAAUUAGGCUUGAAUUCAUCAAAAUUUUUAUACUCUUUUAUUCUAAGCUCGUGGGGAUGUUAGACGGGUGGUGGUGAUGGUGGUCCAAUGGUAGUUUGGUGGUGUUCCAAUGGUGAUACGGUGACUGCUCCGGGGGUGUUCCUAGAUCUCCGACGACUUGCUCAGGUGAACUAAAGAGAUCAAGUGGAAGAGGGUAUAAGGUGUGGGGUGUUUUUUUGUUAGAAAAAUGACAGUAAUUAAAAAAGGGAAAAUAUCAAAGCCAAAUCCAUUUUUAAAAAAGUUUUGAAAAGUUUGGAACAUGUUAGCAACAAAAUAAAAUUUUUGGACAACUGAUGUUAUUCCAAACCUUUUUGGAUCAAAAUAACAAUUUUUGACAUAUUAUUUUUGCAAUUUGGUAACAAAAUAUUAUGUACAUUACUAGAGAAUCUUUUUACAAACCCCACCACAUACUUAAAACAAUUUAUAGAUGCAUACACUUAACAUUAUUGCAAACACAUGAUAAUGGACAAACUAUAUGUCUUAGAUCACGCACAUAAGUGCUACUUUAUUAGUCAUCUAAACCAACUCUUUUCAAAUAUUGUAAAACUUGUAAAUAAUACUUUUUGUUAAACAAUGUUUUAUUUAUUUAAUCAUCUGUUUAUUAUAUUAACAUAUACAAUAUAAGCCUUUUUUUUAUAUUGUUUUCAUUCAUUUUGGUUCUUUUAUACGUUAUAUUAACUUUAAUUUUGAACUUUAAUUAUUAUUUGAUUAACAAAUAACUAUUGUUUAUUUAAAAUAUAUAUGAUUAUAAACAUAUUACAUUAAAAGAAAUAUAUAUAUAUAUAUAUAUNNNNNNNNNNNNNNNNNNNNNNNNUAUAUAUAUAUAUGGGUAAAUUACACGAAUGGUCCCUAUGGUUUAGGGUAAUCUGCGUGUUUAGUCCCUAACAACUUUUUUAUUUAACUCGGACCGUCCCUAAUUUAUGUUUUUGUUGCACGCUUCGUCCCUGUCCGUUCUAAAAAGACUAUUUUACCCUUAGGCCCCGUUUGAUAGUUGCUGAUUGAGAAAGUGCUGACUGGGAAAAGUCUGUCUUGGUAAGAAGAAAUCAUGACCGAGUAAGAAAUCAUGCUGUUUGAUUGUCUAUCUGACUGAAUGUACUGACUGGUGAAGAAGGACCAUUUUACCCUCCCACUUCAAAUACAAACCACCACCUCAAUAUACUCUGGAAUCACCAAUUCCGGAGUUGUCUUCAAUUCCAACACAUAAUCCAUUUCCGCCUUCGGUCCCUAUUUGAUGCCAUUGCAAUCCCAAUUUCAUCUCAAUUCUUUUCCACUUUCAAUUCAAUCCCUCAACACCCACAACAAAAAGCCAUCAUCUUUCGCUGGAAUCUACAAUUCCAUCCUCCAAACACAAAUCAUCUUUCGCUGGAAUCUACAAUUCCAUCCUCCAAACACUACUAUGGAACAAGAGGCAGGUACAUAACAUCAAAAAAUCGAAAAUUUUAGAGAAGUUUAAAAGGAAUCAAUUUCAUGAAUCAAUAGAAAUCAAUUUCAAAAAUCAGACUAUUCAGAAUAGAAACCUUCCUGAUCAAACAGGAACAUAACAUCAAAAAAUCGAAAAUUUUAGAGAAUUUUAAAAGGAGUCAAUUUCAUGAACCAAUAGAAAUCAAUUUCAAAAAUCCGAUUAUUCAGAACAGAAAGGGUAUAAAGAAAUAUGUGAACAAAAUUAAUUCAUGAAUCAAUUUCUGAAUAGAAAGGUAAACAUGCGAUUGAAGGAGAUGGUUUCAUGAAUCAAUUUAAAAAACGAUUUUCAUGAACAAGAUGGUUUCAUGAAUCGGUUUCACGAAUUCAUGGAUCAAAUUCAAAAACGAUUUCAUGAAAUUGGUUUUAUGAAUCAAUUAAAGAAGAAGAAUAGAGGCCUGUAAGAGGAGAAGACAUACCUGAUGAGAAGGGGAGAAGGAGUCGAUCGGUGGGGGGAAGGGGCGCAGAGGCGUGAAAGAGGAACGUAGGGAAGGACACAAUUGGUAACACUUCCUUCUUUCUCAGUCAGUCGUUGGUUUUCUUCUUACCGAGCCAGAACCUUCUUUCCGAGUCAGAUGGGCCAAGAUUGAUUUACCAAACAAAUUUGGCUGACCGAGUCAGCAAAAAUUGUGUGACCCAGUCCAGUCAGAUGCAUAACAAACAUGCCCUUAAUAACUUAUUUAUUUAUUUAUUACUUAUUCUUUUACCUUUUAAUAUUAAAAAUAUAUUUAAAAAAAUUUUAAAAAAAAAAGUAAAAAGAAUCCCUAAAAUCCUAAGCAACGCCUCCGAGCCUCCAUGGCUCCUCCUACAAAUCUCAUCUUCCAGCAUCACCACUCUCUAACUUCAUCUCUGACGACUCCAAUAACAUCAUACAUGGUUGGUGAGAAAAACCUUCAUCUCCUUUCGUUCUUCACUGGUGGGACUAACUUUUCUCUCUACUCCGCCUCUCUGACCCUCUAUUUCACUUGAAAGAAUACGUCACCUAAAACUCCAAUUGCCUUGCCCACGUUUAUUCCCAAUCUCUCGUCUUCUUCCUUCAAGGUUUUCCCAUAAACUUCUUCCUUCAUGGCCUCCGACCCCCUCUACUAUCAUACGCCAGCAACAUCUAUUGCCAACGCCACCAGAGAAGGCAGAGGUGAAGCAGACACUGAGACAAUACAAAUUUAAGCAUUGGCCUCUUUCUCUGUCUCGGAUUGGGGAGCAUGUUAUCGAACCAGAAGUGAGAUUUAAUGUUUGAUUGCAGUUUCGACACCCAAAACAAUCCUACAACACUGGUUAGGUUUGAUUUAAGGUUUGGUUUUCAAUUUUAGGUUUGAUUGAAUUCUAGGUUUGAAUUAAGUUUCACAUUCAAAUUUCAGUAUGAUUUCAUGUUUGAUUCCAGUUGUAGGUUUGAAUUCAUAUUUGAUUUUGAAUUUUGGGUUUGAUUUGUGUUUCACUUUCGAUUUUAGUUUCAGUUUCAGGUUUGCAUCAUGGAUCAAUUAAAGGUUCAAGUUCAAUUCAUUAUGGUGAUUACAGUAAUACGCUUCACUGUAGUCGGAUAAGAAAGUUGUGGGGGAGGUGGAGGUGGAGCAGGAGCAGACACAGUCAAUGUGUGAGAUUUUCCGGUGACUGAACACAAUGAGGGUAUGGUGGUGUAGGCUCUUGAAUUAUACCGAUAUAUAUAUAUAUAUAUAUAUAUAUAUAUAUAUAUAUAGAUUGANN